UAAUCAGACUAAAAGCAAAAU
rnacentral:piRNA from 1 species